UACGAAGGGGGCUAGCGUUGUUCGGAAUCACUGGGCGUAAAGCGCACGUAGGCGGAUCUUUAAGUCAGGGGUGAAAUCCCGGGGCUCAACCUCGGAACUGCCUUUGAUACUGGAGAUCUUGAGUCCGGAAGAGGUAAGUGGAACUGCGAGUGUAGAGGUGAAAUUCGUAGAUAUUCGCAAGAACACCAGUGGCGAAGGCGGCUUACUGGUCCGGAACUGACGCUGAGGUGCGAAAGCGUGGGGAGCAAACAGG
rnacentral:rRNA from 1 species